CAAGUCGAACGGGAGGGGAGGCUUCGGCCUCCCUGAGAGUGGCGCACGGGUGAGUAACACGUGGGUAAUCUGCCUCGGGGUGGGGGAUAACGAGCCGAAAGGUUCGCUAAUACCGCAUAAUGCAGCGGCACCGCAUGGUGACAGUUGUUAAAGCGGGGGAUCGCAAGACCUCGCGCCUGGAGAGGAGCCCGCGCCCGAUUAGCUUGUUGGUGGGGUAAUGGCCCACCAAGGCUUCGAUCGGUAGCCGGCCUGAGAGGGCGGUCGGCCACACUGGCACUGAGACACGGGCCAGACUCCUACGGGAGGCAGCAGUGGGGAAUUUUGGGCAAUGGGCGAAAGCCUGACCCAGCAACGCCGCGUGAAGGACGAAAUCCCUCCGGGAUGUAAACUUCGAAAGUCAGGAAAGAAAUCCUCGGGAUCAAUACCCCCGAGGGAUGACGGUACCUGACGUAAGCCCCGGCUAACUACGUGCCAGCAGCCGCGGUAAUACGUAGGGGGCAAGCGUUGUUCGGAAUUACUGGGCGUAAAGGGCGCGUAGGCGGCACGGCAAGUCGGGAGUGAAAGGCCUGGGCUCAACCGAGGAACUGCUUUCGAGACUGCCGAGCUAGAGUGCGGAAGGGGCAUCUGGAAUUCCCAGUGUAGCGGUGAAAUGCGUAGAUAUUGGGAAGAACACCUGAGGCGAAGGCGGGAUGCUGGGCCGACACUGACGCUGAUGCGCGAAAGCCAGGGGAGCAAACGGGAUUAGAUACCCCGGUAGUCCUGGCCCUAAACGAUGGAUACUUGGUGUGUGGGGUUCUUCGAGUCCCCGC
rnacentral:rRNA from 1 species